GACGAACGCUGGCGGCGUGCCUAAUACAUGCAAGUAGGACGCAGUUGCGAACGGGUGAGUAACGCGUAGGUAACUACCUAUUAGAGGGGGAUAACUAUUGGAAACGAUAGCUAAUACCGCCUACUAGUAGAUGGACCUGCGUUGUAUUAGCUAGUAGGUAGGGUAAUGGCCUAACUAGGCAACGAUACAUAGCCGACCUGGUGGGGUGCACGAGCGCCCGGGGACAGAGAAACGGCCCAAAUUCCUACAGGAUGCAGCAGUAGGGAAUCAUCGGCAAUGGGGCGAACCCUGACCGAGCAAAGCCGCGUGAGUGAAGAAGGUUUUCGGGUCGUCAAGCUCUGUUGUUAAGGAAGCGGUACUUAACCAGAAAGGGACGGCUAACUACGUGCCAGCAGCCGCGGUAAUAC
rnacentral:rRNA from 1 species